CUUGAACUGUCCCAGGUGAGGAGGCCGAGGUCCCCUUUCCAUCAUGAGGCACAGGCCUGGGCCCCAGCCUGGAAGAAACAUUCCCUGUUUGAGAAGAAGCCUGUCUUGGUCUUCAGGUUUCAGACAUCCGUGUCCCUGGGGGGCCAUUUCCUGUCUGUAAAUGUAAGUUUUAAGCUCUUGGUGUGUUUUUUUGCACUCCAAAGUAAACAGAGCACCUGGAUUUAAUCAGUCAGACGGUAACAGAGUCACGAUCUCAGUCCCUUCGUAAGUCCCCACCCCCAGGUAAGGGCCGGGAGGUGGGGCAAGCAGUGAGCCAGCCUGACAGUCUUGGAGGAUUUGCUUCCCCGUGGACUUGUUAUUAAUGAGUAUCUUGCAGCCAGCGUGGACUCGAGGAUCUCUUCAAGGUUUUUGCUUUUGGAUGCCUGCUCCUUAGUUAAGGGCCUGAAAGUGAGGUCAUGGGCUCUGAUUUAAUGAAGGACUGGCCUCACCAGGCAGCAAUUGCUGGGUUCUGCCUGAGUUCGUGAAUGCUGAAGAUGGCGGCCCAAUUGAUCGCAGCUUCCAGAAAGAAGGGAUCCUUUCUGAAUGGGAUGGGCAGUGAACUUCACACCUACCCUUGGCAGGCUGGAGAAACUGACCAAGAGUCUAGAAGGAAGCUAAUGUGCCUCAAUGGGUCACUGUGACCUUGUAGAGAGCACCUGAGCCUGAGCAGAAGGCACACAUCUAUGUCCUCAGCAUCACCCUCUUCCCCUGGUUCAUUACUUAUUUUGGGGGCAGGAAUUGCUUUUCUUUUAGUUUCAAUUUGAUAAAGCAAAUUCAUAAUUUUUAAAAUAGUUUUUCAAGCUUGGAAUGAGAGCUAUGGAGAAGGCAUGAUUUUUCUCCUUUAUGUUUUUCUUCUCCUUCUUUCCCUCUCUGGGUUAUUUUCCUGACAAAUAUAAAUAAAUUUUUUUUUAAAGUCCAACAACUCCUUACUUUGAUUUUUUAAGAUCUACGAAUUUAGAAAUAUCAUUUCAAAAAGUUGGAUUUUGGAUGCUUGAAACAUGCCCAGUUCAUAAUGGAUAAAGGUAAAAAUGGUGAUUUGGGGAUUAUUUUUGUGCAUGGGAUCAUCUGCCAAAAGCAAAAAACAAACCCUCAACUAAGCAAAAAAUGCCUGAACACAGUUUGUAACAAAAAGCUACUAGUUCCAGUUCAUCUUGGGGCAGCUGUGCGCGACAGGAACAGAGCAGUCGUGUUUUCUGUGAUAGUUGCUCAGACCCAAAGGAUGCUGUGACCUCAAAGAAUAACUGGAGUUUUUCCUUUCUUCAAAAUACUUAUCAAGCCUUGAGUUUCUGACAGUUCUUGGAAUAUAUGCAAACAAAAGACAAACAUUCUAUUUAUUAAAACACAUCAGACAGCAGGAAGAAAACAAUAAAAAUUUCUUCAGGGAAAAAAGAAAUCCAAUUUAUAGGCUGGGCAUGGUGCCCCUGACUAUAAUUCCAGCACUUCGAGAGGCAGAAGUGGAAGGAUUAUUGGAGCCCAGGGGUUCAAGACCAGCCUGGGCAACAUAGCAAGACCCUGUCUCUACAAAAAAAAUAAAGCCAGGUCCAGUUGCAUGUGCCUGUAAUCCCAGCUACUUGGGAGGCUGAGGCAGGAGGAUAGGAAGCUAGAAAGUUGAGGCUGCAGUGAGCUAUGAUUGUGCCACUGUACUUUAGCCUGGGUGACAGAGUGACCUUGUCUCAAAAAAAGAAAAGAAAAGAAAAAUCCAGUUUAUAUGGUUGAAGUAAGCAAGGAACUCUUCCUCUCCACGUCCUUUAUUAGGGAGGGCUUAAAGAGGAAAAAGGGAAAUUAAAAAAUAAAAAAAAAAGGAUAUGUACAUAAAACGUUAGAGUAUGCAAGGAUGACACUGCUGAACUUGUAGUCUAUUAGAGAUCCGGGUUAUAGUCCCAGACAUCCAUGGCUGGAAUUCCCAAUGCCACAGGAGCUAGGACUUGUGUUGUGGUUGGAGCCCCGUGGAACUGUACUGCCUUUGUUUUCUCUGAUAUUUCUUGAUAGGCGGGCCCCCUUCUAUUACCACAAAUUGCUGAUGAUGCCAAGCUAGAAGGCACAAAGAAGGCUCAAAAUGAUCUCAGAAGGUUAGAACAAUAGACUCAGCUAACUAUGAUGACAUUUAAUGUGCAUGCAUGCAAUAUGCUGACCUCUGGUUUAAAAGACCACCUUCCCUCAUGGGGUGGCAUUAGUAGAGGUCCUGUGCAGAACGGGAGAAUUACCACCCUGCUUAAAACCCGAUGGUGGCAAGUCAAAGGUCUUAACUCACUUUUAAGACCCUGUGAGGCUCUGCCUACCUCUCUAGAGCCUUACCAUGAUGCGCUCUUCCCCCUCAUUCUCUAUGGCUCAGCUACAGUGGGCUUCGUUCAGUCUUAAAUGCAACUUGAUAUCUCUUUCCUCAGGGCUUUGCUCUACCUGUUUCUCCUGCUUAGAAUACUCCACCUGCACAGACCUCCAUUUAAACAUCACUUCAUUGUUCAGGCACAGUGUACUGAGCUUGUACACUAUGCCAGCCACUAGAUGCUGGAGACACGAGGGUAAACAAAGACCAAAAAAACCUCACACCUGCCUUCGCAGUGCAAGACAUGCAAUCAGACACAAACCAUGUGCUUAAAGGUAUGAGAGAGAGCCAAAUGGUGCCCCAAGAACAUGAACUGGGACUGAGCUGAGAUCUGGAGAAAGAGCAAGAGUGGGGAUUAGAGGGAAUGGGGUGUGCAAAAGCCAUGCGGUGGAGGGAUCAUAGAGCAUUUAAGGAACUCAAGGAGGGCCAGUGUGCCUGGAAUACAGAGAAUAUGCCGUAGGCUGGCAUGAUGUCUCAUGUCUAUAAUCCCAGCACUUUGGGACACUGAGGCGGGAGGAUAGCUUGAGGCCAGGAGUUCAAGACCAGUCUGGGCAACAUAGUGAGAGCCCCGUUUUUACAAAAAAUUGUUUAAAUUAGCUGGGCAUGGUGGCAUGCACCUGUAGUUCCAGCUACUCAAGAGACUGAAGUGGGAGAAUCCCUUGAACCCAGGAGGAUGAGGCUGCAGUGAGCUGUAUUUGUGCCACUGCACUCCAGCCUGGGCAACUGAGUGAGACCCUGUCUCAAAAAACAAAACAAAACGAAACCCAAACAAUCAACAAAGAAUAUGGAGUAGAAUGGGUAUGGUGUGGGAUGAACAUAGAAGGGUUUGCCUCUCUCUUUUUUUUUUGAGCAGGGUUGACUUGUUGCCCAGGCUGGAGUGCAGCAGUGCCAUCACUGCUCGUGUAGCCUCGACCUCCCAGGUUCAAGUGAUCCUCCCAUUUUAACUGGUGUAUGCCAUCACACCUGGCUAAUUAAAAUUUUUUUUUUUGUAGAGACAGGGUCUCGCUUUGUUUUCCAGGCUGGUCUCUGACUCCCAGGCUUAAGCAAUCCUCCUGCCUUGGCCUCCCAGAUGGCUGGGAUUAAAGGCAUGAGCCACUGCAUCCAGUCUUUGCCUCUUCAUUUUCUGAAUUUUCUGUUGUUGGUGCUGUGUUUGAAGAGGCUGGAUUAUAACUAACAGAUCUGUUCGAGAGGCAAUUUACACAUGAGAUAGAAGCUUUAGCUGGAGUCAAUGUUUACUCAACAGCUAUUCAUUGGGCAGUUAUACUGUGCUGAGCAGUGUGCUGGCUGCUGGGGGUACCUAUAGGAAGACACAAGGCAGAUGUGGUCCCUGACCUCCUGAGGCCACACCGACAAAUAAUUAAGCAACACAACACAAGCUGAGUGCCCUCACAGAAUAUGCAAUAUUGGAGCACCUCGGGGGUUGGCAACGGAGCCUAGACCGGGGAGCUCAGAAAUAGCUUCCUGGAGGAAAUGACUGGCUGAGGGAAGGACCAAUGAGAGUCUUCUCAGUGAAAGGCCAGGAACAAUGUUCCAUGCUGACUGAACACCACGGACUGUGUAUACUGAGCCCCAAGCUCACCCGGGAGUGUGCAUUUACCCAUCUCUUGCAUUAGGAGUAUUUUAGUCCUGCCAAAGUUUAAGAAGCUUUGAGGGGAACCCAGGCUUUGACAAAUGAGCUGGUAUUCCAACUCCAUCACUGCACAGUAGUGUGACCACAGACAAGCGCAUGUUCUCAGCCUCAUCUACACAAUGUGAUAAUAACACUGAGCAUAUUGAGUUAUCAGGAUGAUCCAAUGAAGUAGAAUGGGUAUCCACCAAAGGUCCACACUUCUUCCCUUUCCCUGAAACACUGUCUUUUAUUUUUAUGUAUCUGUCCCAAGUAGUCCACUCUGGAGCAGAUGGAGGUGUUGAAGCAUGGAGGUAGAGAUGAGAGUGGUUUCAGAUCCAUCGUUUGGCAGAGGAUCUGAAUCUCAGGAGACAAUGUGAGAAUACACUGAUUUCUCAUGCCAGAGAAGAGAAGUCAAACCAUGGGGCCUGGAGCCCUGGGAAUAGUUCCCUGGGGAAUUGGUAUAGUGGCACUGCCAUCCUCAUGGCACCUUGCAAAUCCAGAUUACUUAUUUUAAACCUGAACUUGAUCUGACUUCUUUAGGAGAACUGCAGCUGCUGGGAAAGAGACAAUGUGUGAGGGCUCUUCUGCUGGUGCAGAUGGUGACGCCACAAACAGACCCCUCCCUGGCUAUUUAUGCUUAUUCAGUCAAAUAAGGGCAGUAUUCCCUUGGACAAAUAAAACAAAUUGCUUUAGUAUCUUACUGAGAUGCCUGCAGACCCUCUGUUCUGUAAGAAUGAGACAGGACAGCUGUGCCUGAACUGCUGGGGCAGGGGUGUAUUCUCUCCUUGGGGAAGUGUGACAUUGGCAGGGGUAACGUUCACCCCAGGGAGUUGUGAGCAUCCUGGACUGUCUUCUGUUGGCCAUCUUUGCAAAUCUCUUUCCCCUGCUGAGCCUUGGGGUUCUCGUCUAGAAAAGGAGAGGCUGGAUUAGAAGAUGACAAGGGUGAUGCUCAUUCCACCUGUGUGACCUCAUGUAGCCUCAUAAUAACUCUCUGAACUUGGAGACCCAGUAUCCAUCCCAUUGUCAGAUGAAACAACUGAGUCAGAGAACUCAGUCACGUGACUGAGAAGUGGUAUGGCCAGGCCUAAUGACUCCAAGUGCAAGCUCUGUUGGAACCAACAGGACUUUCCAAAAGAAAUCAUCCUUAUCAAAACUCUCAGGACAAAGUGAGAGUAAUAUAUUGGUGCCGAAUCAGUCCACAUGCAUUGGAACCUGCAUGUUCUUCAUGUGUGUGCCUGCAUGGCACUGUUGGAGUUAAAUGUAUUUAAACACAUGUAUAUCGACUUCCCUUGGAGAAAAACAUCAAGAGUUCAUGCGCUGUACUGGCAAAUACCAAGAAAGGCAUGAGAUAUGCCUUUGACAAAUUAUAGAAAUGCACCCUUUGGUAUUUGUAAUACUCCUCUGGAACUUAUCUUUUUAUAAAGCAAUGCUUUGUAAUAAUUCUUUGCAAGAAUUUAAAACUAUUUUUGACUUCGAGUUUCAUACUUAAUGUAGUUAUAGUUGAGGGUUUUUUUCUUUUCCAUUUUUCUAAUCUAAGCACUAUAUUUGGAAACCAUUCAUGAACAAGAAAAAGGUUUCUUUGGCUUUUUUGUCUUUCUUUCUUUUUUCUAUAGACUGUGUCUCAUUCUGUUGCCCAGACUGGAGUGCAGUGGUGCAAUCAUAGCUCACUGCAGCUUCAAAUUCCUGGAUGCAAGUGAUCCCCCUGCCUCAGCCUCCUAAGUGCUUGGGACUGCAGGAAUGUGCCAUCAUGCCUGGCUAAUUUUUAUAUAGUUUUUGCAGAGAUGGAAUCUCGCUAUGUUGCCCAGUCUGGUCUCCAACUCCUGGGCUUAAGGGAUCCUCCCAACUUGACCUCCCAAAG
rnacentral:lncRNA from 10 species